rnacentral:rRNA from 2 species
GAUCAGAAUGCUACGGUGAAUACGUUCCCGGGCCUUGUACACACCGCCCGUCACACCAUGGGAGUGGGUUGCAAAAGAAGUAGGUAGCUUAACCUUCGGGAGGGCGCUUACCACUUUGUGAUUCAUGACUGGGGUGAAGUCGUAACAAGGUAACCGUAGGGGAACCUGCGGUUGGAUCACCUCCUUACCUUAAAGAA